GGGCCCAGCUACCAACACCUUGGACGUGGGGCUGUGGGCACAGCCACAGCCACCAGGAGCCACAUGCAGUGGGGACAAGAGCAGUCAGGCUGGGGGCACUGCCUCCCCAGCCCCCGCCCGUGCCUCCACCACGGCCCCGUCGGUCUUCCCACUGUCCCCCAAGUGUGGCACCACGUCCGGCUCCACGGUGUCCCUGGGCUGCCUGGUCUCUGGCUACUUCCCGGAGCCCGUGACUGUGACCUGGAACUCGGGCUCCCUGACCAGCGGCGUGCACACCUUCCCAUCCGUCCUCCGCUCGGGCCUCUACUCUAUGAGCAGCAUGGUGACGGUGCCCGCCAGCUCGUCCACCCAGACCUUCAUCUGCAACGUAGCCCACCCGGCCAGCAGCACCAAGGUGGACAAGACCGUGCCCUUAACUGUCGGACCUCCCCCCACCUCUUGCCCGCCUCACACAUGCCCACCUUGUGAGAACCCGGGAGGGCCCUCGGUCUUCAUCUUCCCCCCGAAACCCAAGGACACCCUCAUGAUCUCCCGGACGCCCGAGGUCACGUGCAUGGUGGUGGACGUGGCCCCAGAUGACCUGGAUGUCGAGUUCACCUGGUACAUGGACGGCAACCAGAUGACCAAGAAGACGGUGAAGGCGGAGCAGGAGCAGUUCAACAGCACCUACCGUGUGGUCCACUCCUACGCCAUCACGCACCAGGACUGGCUGAAGGGCAAGAAGUUCAAGUGCAAGGUCAACAACAAGGCCAUCCCCUCCCCCAUCGAGAGGACCAUCUCCAAGGCCAUAGGGCAAGUCCAGGCGCCGCAGGUGUACGUCCUGGGUCCACACUCGGACGAGUUGGCCAGGGACAAGGUCAGCGUGACCUGCCUGGUCAAAGACUUCUUCCCGCCGGACAUCAGCGUGGAGUGGCAGAGCAACGGGCAGCCAGAGUCCGAGACCAAGUACUCCUCGACCCCGCCCCAGAAGGACCAGGAGGGCUCCUUCUUCCUGUACAGCAAGCUCACCGUGGACAAGGCCCGGUGGCAGCGGGGGGCCCCCUUCACGUGCGAGGUGAUGCACGAGGGCCUGCACAACCACUACGCCCAGAAGACCGUCUCCUGGAACCCGGAGCUGCUCCUGGACGAGAGCUGUGCCGAGGCCCAGGACGGGGAGCUGGACGGGCUGUGGACCACCAUCUCCAUCUUCAUCACCCUCUUCCUGCUCAGCGUGUGCUACAGCGCCACCGUCACGCUCUUCAAGGUGAAGUGGAUCUUCUCCUCGGUGGCCGACCUGAAGAGGACCAUCGUCCCCGACUACAGGAACAUGAUCGGACAAGGGGCCUAGCCUCGCUCCCAGCCAGCGGCCGGCUGCCCGGACCGCCCGCCGGUCCACCUGCUCCACCUGCUGCAACGCCUGCUCCUCCGCCCUCUGACCUCGCUGGCCUCUGACCUCUCCACCCUCGGACCACAGGCCCCCCGGGCCAGCACCACGCCCUCUGGCCUCACGGCCAUCACAGGCUGCAUCCUGCCCAGGACCUGCCCCUUUGGAGAACCGAGUGGACAGCAGGUGCUCCAACCUGAGCUGACGGACACCCGCCAGCCCCUCCACGCAGCCACCAAGAUGCCCGGGGUCAUGUGCCCACCAAGGCCUCCGGGCAGCGUGUCCCUCCCCAGGACAUCACUGCCUGGGCCUCAUGCGAGUCCGUCCUGAGGGGCGGAGGCCUGGCGCCCAGUGUGUGGGCAGCAGCAGGAGGCAGGGCUCCCGGGAGGUGCUGAGUCCCCCCGGGAAGCUCCACGCGGGCCCAGAUGGCCACUCGGCCGCCUCCACCAGAGCACACCUCAGAGCCGGCCUGGCCCGGGGGCAGGGCGGUACCACCCAGGGAGGGUGGGCCUCGGCCCACAAGCCCCUGGGGCGGCGCCUGGUGACCAGGUCCCAGCAGGGGUGACCCAGCCUCCGUGGACAGAGGGGGACAUGGGUGUGGAGGUGCAGUGCCCAGAGGGCCCAGGUCGGAGCACAGGCCUGAGUCCCGCCCCUCGCCCUCCCAGGUAGCCCCUGUUCCGGGCGGGGGGCCGAGAGCUGAGAGCUGAGAGCACUGGACCGAGAACGCCGCCCGCCAUGGGGACCGGCAGUGGACAGACGUCCGAUCCCCAGGGAGCGCCCCUCGGCACUGGGAAGGAGGGAGACACGGGCCCCGUGAGGCAGGGGGCGCGCAGAGAGAUGAUUCCAAGGAAAUGCACCUUGUAGCUUGGGCCGCUUUCGUUUUCUAUUUAAUUUUCUGGAGCCCGUUCAUUGUCUCUACUGGUGUGUGCGUGUGUGGUGCAUGUGUUUAACGA